GUUGAUCCCGCCGGACCCGACUGCUAUUUGGGUGAGGAUAAGCCACGCGAGUUGAAUGGGAAACCUAAAGUUCCCAUGGCAAACUGCUCAGUAGCACAUGAUCAACUUACCCUAUAGAGAAAAAUAACCUCGGGAAACUGAGGAUAAUGUUUCAUAGUUGAAUUGGCUUGGAAAAGUUUUUCGACGAAAGGGGUAAAAAAAAUGGUUUUUAUCUGCUAUAGGAUAGGAUCGUGUUCGAUUAUGGUUGUUGGUGAGGUAAUGGCUCACCAAGCCGAUAAUCGAUAGGGGCCGUGAGAGCGGGAGCCCCGAGAUGGGUACUGAGACAACGACCCAGGCCUUACGAGGCGCAGCAGGCGCGAAACCUCCGCAAUACACGAAAGUGUGACGGGGUUACCCAAAGUGUUCAAUUUUGAACUGUGGUAGGUGAGUAAUGUUCCCUACUAGAAAGGAGAGGGCAAGGCUGGUGCCAGCCGCCGCGGUAAAACCAGCUCUUCAAGUGGUCGGGAUAAUUAUUGGGCUUAAAGUGUCCGUAGCCGGUUUAGUAAGUUCCUGGUAAAAUCGGGUAGCUUAACUAUCUAUAUGCUAGGAAUACUACUAUACUAGAGGGCGGGAGAGGUCUGAGGUACUGCAGGGGUAGGGGUGAAAUCUUAUAAUCCUUGUUGGACCACCAGUGGCGAAGGCGUCAGACUGGAACGCGCCUGACGGUGAGGGACGAAAGCCAGGGGAGCGAACCGGAUUAGAUACCCGGGUAGUCCUGGCCGUAAACGAUGCAUACUAGGUGAUGGCACGGCCAUGAGCCGUGUCAGUGCCGUAGGGAAACCGUUAAGUGUGCCGCCUGGGAAGUACGGUCGCAAGGCUAAAACUUAAAGGAAUUGGCGGGGGAGCACCACAAAGGGUGAAGCCUGCGGUUCAAUUGGAUUCAACGCCGGGAAUCACUAGUGCGGCCGCCU
rnacentral:rRNA from 1 species